GCGGAGCGUGGCUGCUCCGAGGUUGGCGGGUGAACCUGUGCGACUGCGCGGGAGGACGUUCCGCUUUGAAAUGCAGCGGGAUUUGCUGAGUUUCCCGCUGUCUCCAGCGGUGCGGGCGAAGUUGGUGUCUGCGGGUUUCCAGACUGCUGAGGAACUCCUGGAGGUGAAACCCUCCGAGCUUAGCAAAGAAGUUGGGAUAUCUAAAGAGGAAGCCUUAGAAACUCUGCAAAUCCUAAGAAGAGAAUGUCUCACAAAUAAACCAAGAUAUGCUGGUACAUCUGAGUCAGGCAAGAAGUGUACAGCACUGGAACUUCUUGAGCAGGAGCAUACCCAGGGCUCCAUAAUUACCUUCUGUUCAGCACUAGAUAAUAUUCUUGGGGGUGGAGUACCCUUAAUGAAAACAACAGAAAUUUGUGGUGCACCAGGCAUUGGAAAAACACAAUUAUGAACACCGAAAAGCUUUGGAGGAUUUCACUCUUGAAAAUAUUCUUUCCCAUAUUUAUUAUUUUCGCUGUCGUGACUACACAGAGUUACUGGCACAAGUUUAUCUUCUUCCAACUUUUCUUUCAGAACACUCAAAGGUUCGGUUGGUGAUAGUGGAUGGCAUUGCUUUUCCAUUUCGUCAUGACCUAGAUGACCUGUCUCUUCGUACUCGGUUAUUAAAUGGCCUAGCCCAGCAAAUGAUCAGUCUUGCAAAUAAUCACAGAUUAGCUGUAAUUUUAACCAAUCAGAUGACAACAAAGAUUAAUAAAAAUCAGGCCUUGCUCAUUCCUGCAUUAGGGGAAAGUUGGGGACAUGCUGCUACAAUACGGCUAAUCUUUCACUGGGACCAAAAGCAAAGGUUGGCAACAUUGUACAAGUCACCCAGCCAGAAGGAAUCCACAGUACUGUUUCAAAUCACACCUCAGGGAUUUAGAGAUACUGUUAUUACUUCUGCAUGUUCAUUGCAGACAGAAGAUUCCUUGAAUACCCGGAAACGGUCACGAGAUGCAGAGGAAGAAUUAUAUCCCAGAAACAAAUCUCCAAGUAUAUAAAUUUACUGAUGCUGUGAAAUCAAUGUGUACAAAUAGACUUGUUACUUUAAGAUAUAAAUAAACACUAUGGCAUGAAUGAAUCCAGAU